ensembl:lncRNA
GGUGGGAAAACCAAAGAUAGAGCUGAUGGGAAUGGAUUCAAGAGAAACAUGACUUUUUUUUUGUUAAAGAGGAGUUUUAAAGGUAUACAGAAAAACGAUCAUAAAGUACAGAGAGUUCUCACAAACUCCAUCUCUCCCCACCUCACAGUUUCCCCUUUUUUUACAUUCCUAUUAGCAUGGUAUGUCUUUUUAAAUCGAUGAACCAGUACUGAUUCGACAUUAUUAACUGAAGUCUGUAGUGUAUCGUUAGGACUCAUGCCUUGUGUUCUACAUGCCGUGGGUCAUAACACUUGAUAUGUAUCAACCAUUACACUGUCAUACAGGGUAGCUCCAGAGCCCUGUGCUCCACCUAUUGGGUCCCACCCCUCCACCAACCAUCACCUCCUCAACCACUAUUGAUCUCUACUAAAGAAAAGCAGGACUUUUUGUCCAUCCCCCCAGCAGACAUGAGCCUGUGAAAAUGCGGCUCCACGUGUUUUGUUUGUUGCUGUGUCUCUCGUGCUCCGGCCAUGCCUAACACACAGUAGCUGCACAGUAAGACUUACCUGGCGGUCCAGUGGUUAACACUCUGGACUGGGGACACAGGUUCAAUCUCUGUUGGGGAACUUGCUGCACUGUAUGGCCAAAAGAUGUGAAUAAAAAAUAAUAUGCUCAGUUAGUGUCUUCUUGGAUUGGAGAGGCUUUAGAACCUGAAAGGGCUUCCCUGGUGGCUCAGAUGGUAAAGAAUCUGUCUGCAAUGCAGGAGAGACAGGUUCGAUUCCUGGGUUGGGAAGAUCCCCUGGAGAAGGAAAUGGCAACCCACUCCAGUAUUCUUGCCUGGAGAAUCCCACGGACAGAGGAGCCUGGCAGGCUACUGUCCAUGGAGUCGCAAGAGUCGGACAUGACUUAGCGACUAAACCACCACCCACCACCACCAGUGAAGUCUAUGCAGACACAAGUAUAAACCAUUCAGCAUGGGAUGGCUGGCAUGGGUGCUUAGCACGGGACCAGGCCUGGGUGGAGAGUCACAGUAUUCUCACAACUGAGGGCCCGAAUUCUUACUCUUGUUAUCAAGAAACACCAUGAUUUGCACCCAGUUUGCUUAUCUACCCAUUGGGGAUGCUCCUUGCCUUAUGGUCUCCUGAGCAACACUUAUAAAGAAGCCUGCCCAGGAAGGAUUUUGAAAUACUGUACAUCCUACCCUAUCAGAGGGUAGGGACUGGCUUUUCCUUGGAAACCUGUCACAUUUGUUACAGCUGAACCCAGCCCUACCAGGUGACUGUCAGCCCAAACACGUUGCCUUGUAAUGGCUCGUCUGCUCCCCUCUGCCCCUCUGUAGUCUGAGCAGCGUGGGGCUGAGAGCAGAAGUGGUGGCCUGCAUCUUGGUGACCUGAUCUAGCCGGUUCUCACCUGGUACUCAGUUUAGGAUUGAGUGCCCUGGAGUUCCUCGUGUGUGAGGAGGCAACCAGAUCCUCUCCAGUCCAUGCCCUUCCUCUUCUCUACAUCAGCACCACCCCUGUUCUGGGUGAGACCACUCCUGCCCUCUAUGGGGAUGGCUACCCCAGCUCCCAGGGGGACUACCUCUGCCUCUUAACGAGUUCAUCAUCUAUGUGGCAGCCAAGCUGGGUCACUGCCUUCUAAACCUGCCAUGAGGGACAACUCUAGACUCCUCAACACUCCAGGGUCUUUCCACUUGCUCUUCAUCUGUACUCCUCACUUACCACCCUCCCUUCUCUGGUCAACUUCACAUCCUUCAGGGCUUAAAUGCCACCACUUCCGAGAAGGCGUCCUUGAUCAGCCACGCUGCAGCACCCUGUUCUUGUCCUCCAUCAGCUCAUUCUUUCUUCACAUUGCUUAUUCUAAUGUGCAUGUUUGGUAAGGGCACACAAUUCAUGUAUAUCUCCCCCUCCAGCCGUGGGGCAGAGGGGGUCUAGUUCAUUCACUGCUUUAUUACAGAAACCAGGAAACAUUCCUCUAGUGAAAGGAAAUCAAUUAAAUGAAUGAAAACUUGCUGCUUUGUUCCCCUGAUUUUGAAAGCAGUUAUUAAAGGUAAUUGGGAAAAUAUAGGAAUUUUAGGUCUAAAGAACA